rnacentral:lncRNA from 1 species
UGGGGAUUGUGUCCCCAGAAUGUGGCAUCCUCAGAGGCCCAGUGCUGCUCACACCCUGCCCCUGUCUCAGCCUUCAGGGCACCCCAAGUUCGCUGUGCUCUAAGAAACGGGGGCAACUCUCCCGACUCAGAGCCUGACCACAGAGCAGAGGGAAAUCUUCCCAGCUUCCUCCUCCAGAAAACCAGCACACAGACCCUCUUCUCCUUAAGGAUUUUACUGCUACUUACUAAAAAGAAGUAGAAAAGACCACAAAAAGCAACACAUCUAGGAGUGUUAAAAACGCCUAGAACAUAGUUUGAUAAUGGGAAGAUUAUACAGCAGGAGUCCCCAACUGGUAACAGUCUAUGGCCUGUUAGGAACUGGGCAGCACAGAAGGAGGUGAGCAGCAGUCUUCCAGAGGGAGGAAGAGUGACUAACUGGAAGAGUGAGGAUGGGCCGAUUCUCAGCCUACUCUCAGCAAACUCAGAUUCUGUGCUCCUCCAUGCAGAGAACUUACCAGAACAUGGUCUCACUUUCAGAAAAGGAGGGCUACGAUUUUGGCAAUAAACAGUAGGAAGCCUGGGGGGUUCAAGCCAUGGUCUCUUUUCUCAGUCUUUUGAUCUUGAUCUGUGCAACUUCUUUUUUUUUGAGACGGAGUCUUGCUCUGUCCUGUCGCCCAGGCUGGAGUGCAGUGGUGUGAUCUCG